rnacentral:rRNA from 1 species
UACGUAGGUGACAAGCGUUGUCCGGAUUUACUGGGCGUAAAGAGCGCGCAGGCGGUCGAUCAAGUCGAGUGUGAAAGCCCCCGGCUCAACUGGGAAGGGUCAUUCGAAACUGGUCGACUCGAAGGCAGGAGAGGGUAGUGGAAUUCCCGGUGUAGUGGUGAAAUGCGUAGAUAUCGGGAGGAACACCAGUGGCGAAGGCGACUUCCUGGCCUGUUCUUGACGCUGAGGCGCGAAAGCUAGGGUAGCAAACGGG